AUGGACUGGACCUUGAGAAUUCUCUUCCUGGUGGCAGUGGCUUCAGGUGUGAACUCCCAGGUGCAGCUGGUGCAGUCGGGGCCUGAGGUGGGAAAACCUGGGACAUCAGUGAAGAUCUCCUGCAAGGCGUCCGGAUACACCUUCACCGAAUAUGGGAUAAACUGGGUACAGCAGGUCCCGGGACAAGGGCUUGAGUGGAUGGGAUGGAUAAACACUAACACUGGUGCUCCAAGCUACACACCGAAGUUCCAGGGCAAAGUCACCUUCACUCUAGACACGUCCAAGGACACAGCUUACAUGGAACUGAGCACGUUGAGCACUGAGGACAUGGCUGUGUAUUACUGUGCGAGAUUCACAGUGUGA